rnacentral:sRNA from 1 species
UAGACUUAGCGGCCUGUGCCCCGCAGGAUC